CCCAACCCUAACACCCCAGGCAGUUCUUUGGGUCACCUGCUUCUAAAUCUGGCCCAGCUCCCAACAAUCCUGGAAGCCAAUGUAAGAACUCCCAUUAGCUUCAGUGGUUCAGGAUCAAGCCCACAGACCAGUGUCUGAACACCUUACUCCUCCAAUGUGGUGAUCUCUGCCUGGUGUCCGAGAAAAGGCCAAUAUGGAACAAAGCUAAAUACCUAAUGCAUGGUCCAUGAGUGCUGCUGAAUGUACCGCCCAAGACUUUUUCUGCAUGUAGCCUCCCUGAGAGUGCAGGAUAUUUCUGGGAUCCUCCAUCCACUCCUGCAGAACUACGCUCUCCAUAACCACCACUUAAACAUGUCUAUGACUACAAAAGCCAGGACUUAGCCCAUUCCUGGCAAUAUCUUAAAACAAGGAAAAUA